GGCCCGAAGCUUGCUUCGGNCACCUUAGUGGCGAACGGGUGAGUAACGCGUGGGAACCUGCCCUAUGGUGGGGAAUAACAGCUGGAAACGGCUGCUAAUACCGCAUACGCUCUACGGAGGAAAGGCUUCGGCCGCCGUUGGAGGGUCCCGCGUCCGAUUAGCUUGUUGGUGAGGUAAUGGCUCACCAAGGCAACGAUCGGUAGCUGGUCUGAGAGGAUGAUCAGCCACACUGGGACUGAGACACGGCCCAGACUCCUACGGGAGGCAGCAGUGGGGAAUAUUGGACAAUGGGGGAAACCUUGAUCCAGCAAUGCCGCGUGAGUGAAGAAGGCCUUAGGGUUGUAAAACUCUUUCACCCGUGAAGAUGAUGACGGUAGCGGGAGAAGAAGCUCCGGCUAACUCCGUGCCAGCAGCCGCGGUAAUACGGAGGGGGCAAGCGUUGCUCGGAAUUACUGGGCGUAAAGCGCGCGUAGGCGGCACAUCCAGUCAGGCGUGAAAGCCCCGGGCUCAACCUGGGAAUUGCGUUUGAUACUGGUGUGCUAGAAUCCGGGAGAGGGUAGUGGAAUUCCCAGUGUAGAGGUGAAAUUCGUAGAUAUUGGGAAGAACACCAGUGGCGAAGGCGGCUACCUGGCUCGGUAUUGACGCUGAGGUGCGAAAGCGUGGGGAGCGAACAGGAUUAGAUACCCUGGUAGUCCACGCCGUAA
rnacentral:rRNA from 1 species